UACAGAGGUCUCAAGCGUUGUUCGGAUUUCAUUGGGCGUAAAGGGUUGCGUAGGCGGCGCGGUAAGUCGGGUGUGAAAUUUCGAGGCUUAACUUCGAAACUGCAUUCGAUACUGCCGUGCUAGAGGACUGGAGAGGAGACUGGAAUUUACGGUGUAGCGGUGAAAUGCGUAGAUAUCGUAAGGAAGACCAGUGGCGAAGGCGGGUCUCUGGACAGUUCCUGACGCUGAGGCACGAAGGCCAGGGGAGCAAACGGG
rnacentral:rRNA from 1 species